CCUACGGGUGGCAGCAGUGAGGAAUAUUGGUCAAUGGGCUUACGCCCGAACCAGCCAAGUCGCGUGAGGGAAGACGGUCCUAUGGAUUGUAAACCUCUUUUGUCGGGGAGCAAAAGACGCCACGCGUGGCGUUCCGAGAGUACCCGAAGAAAAAGCAUCGGCUAACUCCGUGCCAGCAGCCGCGGUAAUACGGAGGAUGCGAGGGUUAUCCGGAUUUUUUGGGUUAAGAGGGUGCGCAGGCGGAAGAUCAAGCCAGCGGUAAAAUUGAGAGGCUCAACCUCUUCGAGCCGUUGAAACUGGUUUUCUGGAGUGAGCAAGAAGUAUGCGGAAUGCGUGGUGUAGCGGUGAAAUGCAUAGAUAUCACGCAGAACUCCGAUUGCGAAGGCAGCAUACCGGCGCUCAACUGACGCUCAUGCACGAAAGUGUGGGUAUCGAACAGGAUUAGAUACCCCAGUAGUC
rnacentral:rRNA from 1 species